GACGAACGCUGGCGGCGUGCCUAAUACAUGCAAGUUGAGCGAUGAAGAUUAGUGCUUGCACCAAUUUGAAGAGCAGCGAACGGGUGAGUAACGCGUGGGGAAUCUGCCUUUGAGCGGGGGACAACAUUUGGAAACGAAUGCUAAUACCGCAUAACAACUUUAAACAUAAGUUUUAAGUUUGAAAGAUGCAAUUGCAUCACUCAAAGAUGAUCCCGCGUUGUAUUAGCUAGUUGGUGAGGUAAAGGCUCACCAAGGCGAUGAUACAUAGCCGACCUGAGAGGGUGAUCGGCCACAUUGGGACUGAGACACGGCCCAAACUCCUACGGGAGGCAGCAGUAGGGAAUCUUCGGCAAUGGACGAAAGUCUGACCGAGCAACGCCGCGUGAGUGAAGAAGGUUUUCGGAUCGUAAAACUCUGUUGGUAGAGAAGAACGUUGGUGAGAGUGGAAAGCUCAUCAAGUGACGGUAACUACCCAGAAAGGGACGGCUAACUACGUG
rnacentral:rRNA from 1 species